CCUUGUCGCGGUGAGAAAGCUUCUUAACGAAAAGGUGUAUAUGAUUAAAGAAACAAAGAAAUGUAUAAAAUUCUUAAAACUUUGGGAUGGAAAAAUUGCCCCCUCUUGAAAAAAAUUCUGCGGACGCCCUUGUCUGUAACUUCACUACUAUCAAUUUUAAAACAACACCCAUGUUUUAAUAAUUUGCCAAAACAUGCAAAAUCUCUUUUAAAAACUCCUCGUACAACAAAUGUUCGUGAAAUGUCACCAGGACAAUUUUGUUAUUUUGGCAUUGUACCUAUUCUUGAAUCUUAUUUUCGACGUUACGAAGAUAAAAAUGAAAAUCAUAUAAAACUUCAAGUAGGCAUCGAUGGGCUUCCUAUAUCUCAAUCUUCCGAAAAUCAGUUGUGGCCAAUACUUGGUUCAAUUGUACCAUUUUCUGAAGUAUUUUUAAUUGGCUGUUACUUCGGAAUGUCUAAACCAUCUGAUUCUAAUUUAUUUUUAGAAGACUUUGUGGAAGAAUGUAAAAUUCUAUAUGGGAGCGAUGUACUAAAUAAUAACAAAGUCAUAAAAUUUUCAAUUCAUAGUUUAAUAGCAGAUGCUCCCGCAAAAUCAUUUCUAACUUCAACUAAAGGGCACAGUGGAUAUCACAGUUGCUUGAAAUGUAAUAUUGAAGGCAGUUAUAUUAUGAAUCGCGUUUGUUUUCCUGGUACUAAUUUUCAAGAAAGGACAAAUGAACUUGCAAGUAAACAAUUUGAUAAAAAUUAUCACAAAGAAUAUUGUAAACUAGUAGAAAUACCAGAUUUUGGUUUAGUUACCAACAUACCUUUAGAUUAUAUGCAUCUAAUAUGUAUUGGUGUUGUAAAGAAAUUGAUAAAAUUAUGGCUAAGUGGCUCUUUAAAAGUAAGAUUACCAGCAUUUAAGGUAAAACAAAUAUCCGAUUCAUUAAAAAAUAUAAGAAGUUAUAUUCCAAAAGAAUUUUCGAGAAAACCUCGUAAUUUGGAAGAUGUUAGUAAAUGGAAAGCAACUGAAUUGCGACAAUUUUUAUUAUAUACAGGGCCAUACAUUCUGAAAAAAAUUUUACCAUUAAAUAUAUACACAAAUUUUAUUCUUUUACAUACUGCCAUUCGAAUUCUAGUAUGCCCAAAAUUACAUAUAGAAAAAGUUAAUAACGCUGAAAAAUAUCUAAAACAGUUUGUAAGAUCUUUCGAAAAAAUAUACGGCAAGCACUUAGUGUCCCACAAUAUUCAUUAUUUAUUACAUUUGACUAAUGAUGUACGAAAAUUUGGGACACUUGACACAUUUAGUGCAUUUAAAUAUGAAAAUUAUAUGAAAACUAUAAAAGCCUUGAUUAGAAAAGCUGAUCGUCCACUGCAACAAUUAUGUAAUAGAUAUGCAGAACUUAAAGCAUGUGAAGAUAUUAAUGAAAAAUUGUCACAUUUAUCUAAACAAAAAUUUCAUGGUAUACAUUGUAAGGGACCUCUUCUCUAUGGCUACAAUAAUCCUCAAUAUUCGAAAAUAUUUUUCGAAAAAUAUAUCCUUACAACAGAAAGUCCCAAUAACUGUUGUAUUUUGAAAGAUGAUUCUAUUAUUUUAAUUUCAAAUUUUGCGACGUCAAUAUCUGGAAACAGUUAUAUAAUUGGAAAAAAAUUUUCCAAAAAAAAAAUGUGUAUAUAAAAGUCCACUACCAUCAUCAUUAUUCAAUUGCUUUCGAGUUUCAAAUUUAUUGGAAUUUGAAGCCUGGUCUGUUUCCGACAUUGAAAAGAAAAUUAUGUUAUUUCCUCAAGGAAAAUAUUAUGCUGCAAUACCUUUGUUACAUUGCGAAACAUCAUCCAAAUCUUAAAAUUAGAAAAGCACUUAUGAUGAGCAAUUAAAGUGUAAAAUAUCAUGUAGUUGAAUUUGAAGAUGGGCUUGAAAUUGUUCCAUCUUCAUGGGUAAAAGAUAAGAAUAUAUGCAAAUAUCCUGCAACUAAAUCCAAGAAAAAGAAAGAUAAAGUCGUUAUCAAUAACGUACAACCGGAUUCAAGUUGGAAAAAUUAUGCCAUUUUAAGGACAUUUGCAGUAUGCGACACUUAUGAAGAAGCCUGUUUAAAAUGUGAUAAAGCAGAAUAUGUAUCAGAUAUGAACACAGAUAUGGAUGACAAUGACAAAGAAAACAAUUUUAUACAAGAAUUAACAUGCCAAAACAAAGAAAAGUAUAUAAGAAAAGUAUAUAAUAGUGAAAUAUAUAAAAGUUCAUUUGAAGAUUUAAGUAUGCUAAUGACAAACACAAUAACGGAAAUAAGAGAUUUGAAAAUAACCACAAAUAUUAUGAGUACCGACAUAAAAGAAAUAAAAAUGGAUAUUACAAAUAUAAAGAUGGAUAUCCAACGCAUGUGUGGUAUAAUUUCGAAAUUAAAAGAAAGUCAAGAUAUUACUCUACCGCUAUCAAAAUGUACCGUUGCUUCACAAGCUGUUGUUGCUUUACAUUCGAUUUUUCCAUUAAAAACGAAAGAGCAAUUACAUCAAUUGGAAAACGAACUUGAAAUCGUCGAGAAAGAAACUCAAUUGAGUGCGUUUUUUGAUACAAUUGGAGGACUUGAUCCAAAUGAAACAGUGAAAAGAUCUCUAAUAAAGACAUUCAGUAAUAAACCAGCCACUGAAUUUUCAUGGCAAGGCCGUAAAGAAAAAUAUAAAUUAUGUAAUUUAAAAAUAAUGGACAUAAUGUAUCGUUCACUGCUGGCUCGUUGUAUUAAUAUGGAUGAAAAAAAAUUCCAAUUUCGUGUGCAAGAAUGGUUCAGACAAGCUGCAGCACGCUAUCGCAAUGAAAUUCAGAAAGAUACAGAAAACGCCAUUAUUUUGGAACUACAAUGUGGAAACGUUGACGUUGCAGAAAUCGCAAAUUGCAUGCAGCUUAAUCCUACAGCAUCAGACAAUGAAGAACAAGUAAACUAGUAAAACGUUAUAUUUUUAAUUAUUACAUUUAAACAUUUUAUCAAGUUCGAUAUACAAAAGUAUAAAAGUAUAUGUAUAAAAGUCGAGAAUAAUAUAUAGAGUGACUUAGUUUCUUUUAAAUUAAAAAAUUUUUUUAUAAAAUGUUCAUAAUAUCGAAAAUGUUCUAAGGACAAAAAUAUUAAGGCACUUACUGCAAACUAAUAAUAUGGAAAUCAAUAGUUCUUGAGAUAUUCAACUUUUAAUUUAAUUUAGCAUUUAAAUUAUUA